rnacentral:rRNA from 1 species
UCGGGUUGUAAAGCACUUUUGUCCGGAAAGAAAACCUCAGCCCGAAUACGGCGGGGGGAUGACGGUACCGGAAGAAUAAGCACCGGCUAACUACGUGCCAGCAGCGCGGUAAUCGUAGGGUGCGAGCGUUAAUCGGAAUUACUGGGCGUAAAGCGUGCGCAGGCGGUUCGUUAAGACAGAUGUGAAAUCCCCGGGCUUAACCUGGGAACUGCAUUUGUGACUGGCGGGCUAGAGUAUGGCAGAGGGGGGUAGAAUUCCACGUGUAGCAGUGAAAUGCGUAGAGAUGUGGAGGAAUACCGAUGGCGAAGGCAGCCCCCUGGGCCAAUACUGACGCUCAUGCACGAAAGCGUGGGGAGCAAACAGGAUUAGAUACCCUGGUAGUCCACGCCCUAAACGAUGUCAACUAGUUGUCGGGUCUUCAUUGACUUGGUAACGUAGCUAACGCGUGAAGUUGACCGCCUGGGGAGUACGGUCGCAAGAUUAAAACUCAAAGGAAUUGACGGGGACCCGCACAAGCGGUGGAUGAAUGUGGAUUAAUUCGAUGCAACGCGAAAAACCUUACCUACCCUUGACAUGGACGGAACCUGGCUG